rnacentral:rRNA from 1 species
GAUGAACGCUGGCGGCGUGCUUAACACAUGCAAGUCGAACGAACCUUCGGGUUAGUGGCGGACGGGUGAGUAACGCGUGAGAAUCUGCCCUCAGGAGGGGGAUAACAGCUGGAAACGGCUGCUAAUACCCCAUAUGCCGCGAGGUGAAAUGAAUUUCGCCUGAGGAUGAGCUCGCGUCUGAUUAGCUAGUUGGUGUGGGUAAUGGCUCACCAAGGCAUCGAUCAGUAGCUGGUCUGAGAGGAUGAUCAGCCACACUGGGACUGAGACACGGCCCAGACUCCUACGGGAGGCAGCAGUGGGGAAUUUUCCGCAAUGGGCGAAAGCCUGACGGAGCAACGCCGCGUGAGGGAUGAAGGCCUCUGGGCUGUAAACCUCUUUUAUCAAGGAAGAAGAUCUGACGGUACUUGAUGAAUAAGCCACGGCUAAUUCCGUGCCAGCAGCCGCGGUAAUACGGGAGUGGCAAGCGUUAUCCGGAAUUAUUGGGCGUAAAGCGUCCGCAGGCGGCCCUUCAAGUCUGCUGUUAAAAAGUGGAGCUUAACUCCAUCAUGGCAG